ACACACACACACAUUCUUGCACACACACACACACUCAAUCAAUCACACACACUCACUUAAUCUCACACGCACACACUUGCACACACAUACACACGCACACACUUAAUCACACUCACACAUGCACACACUCAAACACAUGUGACCAGAAUCUCUGUCAUGUGACAUUCCAGACGCAGGGGUCAGAGUUCACGAGGUGUUCCUGAACCCUGAUUGGCCGUGAGCUACUCUUCCUUCUUGAGGAGGGACGUUAGGGAGCAAUACUCAUGAGAAACUAAUCACAGACCCUGUGUGUGUGUGUGUGUGUGUGUGUGAGAGACAGUAUUUUGCUCUCUUCUAAACCCCACAUGAUGUUUAUUUACUACGUUCUGAUUGGAUGUCUCUGAUUUUGUCUUUCAUUGGGUGGAUGUGAUUCAUAAUUAUAUUAAUAAUGAUAAUAAAAACACAUUUUAUGCACUUUCUGCUGUCCAGUUUGUCUUAAAACUGAUUCACACACACACACACACACACAAAAAGCAGUUUAACCCAUAAAUGCAAAAAAAGAAAAAAAAAGUUUUCUUGCUCAGGAUUUUGUGUCUUGUUGUUCAGUAUAAUUCUUAAAUCAAGAUAUAUCAAGUAUUGUUUUCUGAGAAGUGUAUCAUAAUGAAGUGAGUUUAUGCUAAAAAGAAGAACAAAUGUUGUCAAUGGGUUCAGAAAAAUAAAGGGUAAACAAGCGACUCCACUGGAACACUUUUUAUUAUUAUAAUCAUUAUUAUUAUGGAGCUUUUUCACAUUUCCGGGUUUCUCAACAGCGGAAAUCGUCAUUUUUUUGAAUUGCGAAAUAGCAGAAAAACUCCACGAUAGUGUUUCCAUGACUUUCAAUAAAAGGGAAGAGAGACUGGUAACGGCAGAAGGAAGAGAGAACCAUGGUAAAGAAACACCCUCACAUUAACCUGAACCGGUUUCUUUUUUUGUAAUUUGAGGCAAAGGUGAUACAAUACAAGUUUCAGGUUUCACCGGAAGUGUGGCUCUCCUGACCGACCAGCAGAGGGCGCAACGGCACGCGUUACACACCAGCGAAGAAGAGCUCAGCUCAGCACUGCUGAAGACGAGCGUAUCUGAGCUCUGAAUGGAGAUCCGGACGAAUAUGAAGUGAAUUACAGUAAUGAGACUCAUGUGAGGGACAGACGCAGCACAUUCAGGAGUUACACACACAGAUGGACGC